rnacentral:lncRNA from 1 species
UCCCAAAAAUAUUAAUGAAAUAUCAACUAAGAAGUAAUCCAGCAGUAAUUGAAAAAGCAGUCACGGAGACAUUCAAGCAAUCGAGCAAUUAACAAGACAUCAACAGUAAGCAAUAGGCUCAAUUUCUUCAGGCUAUAAGCAAUAUGAUCUCAGUCUCCAAAAGCAAUUUCUAGUAGCUAAACAAUUGCAGCAAAGAAUCGGUCAAACGAGUCUAAGCAAUUUCUAGCAGUCGAAACAGACCUACCAAGCAGAAGGUAAACAUUCAAGCAAAUUUAGGCACCAAGCGGUCCCAAGUCUCCAUCACAGCAAGCCAACAUAAGUAAUUGAGACCAAUACUCCUUUCCACACCCGAAACAAGUCUGCAAGUCCAUCAAUCAAGCAAGAACAAAAUGUCAAAGAAGCAAGUCUCCAGCACACAAAAAGCAAUCAGAAGCGAUUAAUGAUCGAGGCAGAAGUAAGCAGUAACAAAUUUCCAAAAAAUACAUUAGGCCAGCAACAAAUUUCCAGAAGAAAUCAUCAGUAGGGAGGCAAUUUCGGGAGGAGUUUUGAAUCAACAGAAGCCGAGACCCGGUGAAGACCGAUAAGGAAAUUGAAGCACAGGCAAAAAGCUUCAAGGCAGAAAGCCCCACAAUUUUCAAAACUAGAAUCACAAGCAAUUCAAAACCAGAAUUUAAAUUCAACCCAGGAAGAACUAGAAGAAACAAUCAGCAUGGCUGAAAGCAUUGAAACCCACUAAACCCAUAACCAAUCACCUGAACCCCGUACAUAAGGCACACAAAGAGAAAUCGACACAAUCAUACACAAGGAUAAAUGAUAAGAUAAAAUCAUCAUAAUCAAAACUCAACACAGAUCGGAAGGCAAAGAAUAAAAAAGGAACUUCAGAUUUCUUGACUUGGUGGAAGUUGGGUUCGUCAAAUCAGUGUUUGACAGAAAAAGGAAAAGGAAAAUUUCUUUUGCAAAGCAGAGGAAGCAAAAGGGGUUGAUUCUGGGGAUUGAAUUGGUGUUUUUGGGUUUCAGUGAAAAGAGCUUUUAGGAUUUUUUGGGAAUAGGCAGGGGAAAGCAACAAAAGGGUGGAGGCACGGUGGUGGUGGAAGACGCUAGCUUCUGGGAAUAGCUCGUUUAUGGGUUUGGGUUUUGUUUGGGGAGAUUUGGCAAAAGCGUUUUGCCCAGCUUUUUGCUCACCGGUGAACGCCGACGCUAAUUGGAGCGGCUUGCCGAAUUUUGGAUUGUCUGGUGACUUUUAGAGAGAAGAGGGAAGAACCAAAAAUAAAGUGAGAGAAACUAAGGAGUAGAAAACGGAGGAAAU